GGGUAACAGGGAGCUUGCUCCGCUGACGACCGGCGCACGGGUGCGUAACGCGUAUGCAAUCUACCUUAUACAGGGGAAUAGCCCAGGGAAACUUGGAUUAAUGCCCCAUAGUAUCAUUAAGUAGCAUUACUUGAUGAUUAAAGAUUUAUCGGUAUAAGAUGAGCAUGCGUCCCAUUAGUUAGUUGGUAAGGUAACGGCUUACCAAGACAGCGAUGGGUAGGGGCCCUGAGAGGGGGAUCCCCCACACUGGUACUGAGACACGGACCAGACUCC
rnacentral:rRNA from 1 species